rnacentral:rRNA from 1 species
UACGAAGGGGGCUAGCGUUGCUCGGAAUCACUGGGCGUAAAGCGCACGUAGGCGGAUUGCUAAGUCAGGGGUGAAAUCCUGGAGCUCAACUCCAGAACUGCCUUUGAUACUGGCGAUCUUGAGUCCGGGAGAGGUGAGUGGAACUGCGAGUGUAGAGGUGAAAUUCGUAGAUAUUCGCAAGAACACCAGUGGCGAAGGCGGCUCACUGGCCCGGUACUGACGCUGAGGCGCGAAAGCGUGGGGAGCAAACAGG